rnacentral:rRNA from 1 species
GACGAGCCUCACAAACGUUAUUCGGAAUUACUGGGCUUAAAGGGUGCGUAGGCGGUGCGGAAAGUUGGGUGUGAAAUCCCUCGGCUUAACCGAGGAAUUGCGCUCAAAACUACCGUGCUCGAGGGAGAUAGAGGAAUGCGGAACUUACGGUGGAGCGGUGAAAUGCGUUGAUAUCGGAAAGAACACCAACGGCGAAAGCACUCUGCUGGGCCGACACUGACACUGAGAGACGAAAGCUAGGGGAGCGAAUGGG